rnacentral:misc_RNA from 1 species
GUGAAUCAUCGAAUUUUUGAACGCAAAUUGCGCUUCCUAGCAUCCCGGGAAGUAUGCCUGUUUGAGGGUCAGUAUUAACAAAAAAAUCGGUUUGGUUGCAAAUUGUGACGUUUUCGGAGUUUGGGUAAUCUUAACUUUUUUGGUUAAGGGGCUUAAAAGUGAGCUUUUCUGCGUAUUUUUAGACUUACAUAAAUUUUUUUUUAUUAGUUUAUUCUUAAGGCAAAAAUUCUAUUCGAUAG